rnacentral:tRNA from 1 species
UUUAAAAAAAUUUAUUUUUUGGUUAAAUAAGAUUAAUCAAAUUUUGAUUUAUUUAAU